AACAGCCCCAGCUGUCGACCACAAUAUUUUACCGUUUGUCCUAUACCAGCCCCUUUUUAUACCGUCCAUUCACACCUUAAUCUUUCAUCCUAAGUUUUCCUUUUAGGGUUUUCUUUGUUUCUGCAGGCAUGGAUAGGCUCUGGGUAGUCUUAUCUAGGGCUUCUUGUUGGUGGGUUUCUUUCAUAAUAUGUCUGUCGAAGGCAAAAGGGCAUGGAUUUUGAAUUCUGAUGUUUUUAAUCCUUCAGGGUCUUUUACAGUUUUCUUUGUUUUUAUGGAUAUGGGUGAAUUUUGUUUAGCUUUAUCUAGGCCAUCUUGUAUCUAUAAAUCCGUGGAAUCAUAAUACUACGACAUUGAUUGCUUGUCGGUAGAAUUAUAUCAAGUUACAAACUUCAACUUGAUCAAAUCGGUUUUCUUGUGAAGAUUAUUGGUAUGCUGUAAAAAGGGUACUUUGGGGUUGGUCAUUGGUGGGGUGGUUUGGGAGGAGAUCUACUGUGGAAAUGAAUUGGGUCGGACCCCGAAGUUCAGUGUUGAGAGACUCGGGUCUGCCUACGAUCAUCAGCACUUGGUUUGGCGAUGAAAUGGACAUGCACCAAAGUGAAUAUAUACGAGUAAGUGCUGAUUAAGAAUGAAAAGAUGAGUCCUUUGUUUUUAGUGCAAAUGGUGGCAGCACCUUUAUAGAAAGAUUGUGACUGCAGAUAAGCAUCUUCGAGGUUUUCAUCCCAUCCACACCUCACAUUUACAAAGUCAUUGUGAUUUGUCUUACACUUGGUCUCUUCUUAUUAUGCCUCUAUCUGGUAGAAAUCAAAAUGAAAAUUUUAAUUUAAAUCAAAGCCAACAAUUAAUUUUAACUAGUUAUGAAAUUCACAACUUUUCAAUCAUAUAUUUUUCAACAAUUUUUUAUCAAAAUCUACUGAAAAUUUUAUUUUAAUUUUGAUCAAACGUGUCUAUAUGUGUAUUCCUCAUAGUGGACUUCUAUUUAGACAUACAUUGCUGAAUUGUACCAAAUUUUUGGCUAUCUACCCAUUAAUGGGCUCAACGUUAGUAGGGCUACAACUUGCUAUGUGAAGGUAGACAAAGCUACCCAUGCUUGGUCCGGAAAGAAGACAUCUUUUUGUUGAUUUUGUUCGAGGGUCCUUUUUAUUCUAAUGGCCUGUCCCCAAAUUUAGUUAGGUUGAUUUGGGUCGUGGACUGACCCAACUAAAGAGAAGAGUCAUGCUAGUCGUGACUUUUCACGAACUUAGCUCAUUGAAGUGUUAGUUGCUUUGAAUGGAAACUCCGGUAAAUAGCGGUAGUAACUCUAAUUGUAUUAUUAAAAAAAUGAAGAAAAUAGCUAUUGGGUACAGUGAAUUGCCCAUCCCGACACAAUCGGUGUCGAGCUUUUAUUCUUUAUUUCUUGAAGGACUAAACCAAGUGUGGCUGCCAAAAUCGCAAGCCAUGCUAGGAAGCUAUAACUAUGUUAGAAUUUUUAUUCAAACUAUGAACUUAUAUAUCAGGAUUCAAGCACAUACGUCCACUCGCAUUGAACUAUAAGAAAAAUUGAGAUACAUUCUUAUCUCUUAUUGGUUAUGGGAUAACCCUUGUUCUAAUAUCAUUAUCUAAAAUGAGUGGAUCCUAUGAAAUUGAAAAUGAUAAGUGAAUUUCAAAUUGAGAAAAGCUAAAAAAAUAUGGUUAAAAACAGGGUUAAAAACAAGGGAGGAUACAUGUCGAAGCAUGAAUGGAUAGUUUGAAUUUUUUUUUAAAAAAAAAAAAAAAAAAAAAGACACCAACAAAGUGUUGUUAACUCAAUCUGUCCUCACUUUCAAUAUUUUUAACCCUGUUCAGCCAUCAUUUCCCUUUCAUAUUGAUCUUGAUUAUACGAGAUUUAACAUUCAAUCAAGAAAUUCAACACUGAUGGGGCCAUCAAAAUUUGAUUGAUUUUAAAUCCUUAAAACCGCCGAAUGUCAAUUAUCCACACCCUUGCAAAGGUAAAACAAGUUACAACAUUGAUUGCUUGUCGGUAGAAUUAUAUCAAGUUACAAACUUCAACUUGAUUAAAUCGGUUUUCUUGCGAAGAUUAUUGGUAUGCUGUAAAAAGGGUACUUUGGGGUUGGUGGGGUGGUUUUGGAGGAGUACCGUGGAAAUGAAUUGGGUCGGACCCAAAGUUCAGUGUUGAG
rnacentral:lncRNA from 1 species